rnacentral:rRNA from 1 species
UACGUAGGGACCGAGCGUUGUCCGGAAUCAUUGGGCGUAAAGAGCGUGUAGGCGGCCUUUUAAGUCCUGCGUGAAAUCCUGCGGCUCAACCGCAGACGGUCGUGGGAAACUGGAAGGCUAGAGUGCGGGAGAGGAGAGUGGAAUUCCCGGUGUAGCGGUGAAAUGCGCAGAUAUCAGGAGGAACACCGAUGGCGAAGGCAGAUCUCUGGGCCGUAACUGACGCUGAGGAGCGAAAGCAUGGGGAGCGAACAGG